CCUACGGGGGGCAGCAGUGAGGAAUAUUGGUCAAUGGACGCAAGUCUGAACCAGCCAUGCCGCGUGCAGGAAGACGGCGCUAUGAGUUGUAAACUGCUUUUGUACGAGGGUAAACGCAGAUACGCGUAUCUGUCUGAAAGUAUCGUACGAAUAAGGAUCGGCUAACUCUGUGCCAGCAGCCUCGGUAAUACGGAGGAUUCAAGCGUUAUCCGGAUUUAUUGGGUUUAAAGGGUGCGUAGGCGGUCGGAUAAGUUAGAGGUGAAAUCCCGAGGCUCAACUUCGGAAUUGCCUCUGAUACUGUUCGGCUAUAGCGUAGUUGCGUUAGGCGGACUGUUUGGUGUAGCGGUGCACUGCUU
rnacentral:rRNA from 1 species